rnacentral:rRNA from 1 species
UACGGAGGUGCAAGCGUUGUUCGGAAUUAUUGGGCGUAAAGGGCGCGUAGGCGGUUGUGAUAGUCAGAUGUGAAAUCCUCCGGCUUAACUGGAGAACUGCAUCUGAAACUUCAUAGCUAGAGUACAGGAGAGGGAAACGGAAUUCCCGGUGUAGAGGUGAAAUUCGUAGAUAUCGGGAGGAACACCAGUGGCGAAGGCGGUUUCCUGGCCUGAUACUGACGCUGAGGCGCGAAAAGCGUUGGGAGCAAACAGGAUUAGAUACUCUGGUA